CAGUAGCCGCGGUAAUACAGAGGGUGCGAGCGUUAAUCGGAUUUACUGGGCGUAAAGCGUGCGUAGGCGGCUUUUUAAGUCGGAUGUGAAAUCCCUGAGCUUAACUUAGGAAUUGCAUUCGAUACUGGGAAGCUAGAGUAUGGGAGAGGAUGGUAGAAUUCCAGGUGUAGCGGUGAAAUGCGUAGAGAUCUGGAGGAAUACCGAUGGCGAAGGCAGCCAUCUGGCCUAAUACUGACGCUGAGGUACGAAAGCAUGGGGAGCAAACAGGAUUAGAGACCCGAGUAGUCCCUGUCUCUUAUAC
rnacentral:rRNA from 1 species